UACGUAGGGUGCAAGCGUUGUCCGGAAUUAUUGGGCGUAAAGAGCUCGUAGGCGGUUUGUCGCGUCGAAUGUGAAAACCCGGGGCUCAACCCCGGGCCUGCAUUCGAUACGGGCAGACUAGAGUUCGGUAGGGGAGUCUGGAAUUCCUGGUGUAGCGGUGAAAUGCGCAGAUAUCAGGAGGAACACCCGUGGCGAAGGCGGCUCUCUGGGACGGUACUGACGCUAAGGCGCGAAAGCGUGGGGAGCGAACAGG
rnacentral:rRNA from 1 species